CGAUGCGUAGCCGACCUGAGCCAGGAUCAAACUCUACUGGGACUGAGACACGGCCCAGACUCCUACGGGAGGCAGCAGUAGGGAAUCUUCGGCAAUGGACGAAAGUCUGACCGAUCAACGCCUCGUGAGUGAAGAAGGUUUUCGGAUCGUAAAACUCUGUUGUUAGAGAAGAACAAGGACGUUAGUAACUGAACGUCCCCUGAUGGUAUCUAACCA
rnacentral:rRNA from 1 species